ACGGGUGAGUAACGCGUGGGAAUCUACCCUUUUCUACGGAAUAACGCAGGGAAACUUGUGCUAAUACCGUAUGUGUCCUUCGGGAGAAAGAUUUAUCGGGAAAGGAUGAGCCCGCGUUGGAUUAGCUAGUUGGUGGGGUAAAGGCCUACCAAGGCGACGAUCCAUAGCUGGUCUGAGAGGAUGAUCAGCCACAUUGGGACUGAGACACGGCCCAAACUCCUACGGGAGGCAGCAGUGGGGAAUAUUGGACAAUGGGCGCAAGCCUGAUCCAGCCAUGCCGCGUGAGUGAUGAAGGCCCUAGGGUUGUAAAGCUCUUUCACCGGAGAAGAUAAUGACGGUAUCCGGAGAAGAAGCCCCGGCUAACUUCGUGCCAGCAGCCGCGGUAAUACGAAGGGGGCUAGCGUUGUUCGGAAUUACUGGGCGUAAAGCGCACGUGGGCGGAUCGAUCAGUCAGGGGUGAAAUCCCAGGGCUCAACCCUGGAACAGCCUUUGAUACUGUCGAUCUGGAGUAUGGAAGAGGUGAGUGGAAUUCCGAGUGUAGAGGUGAAAUUCGUAGA
rnacentral:rRNA from 1 species